UAGGGAAUCUUCCGCAAUGGACGAAAGUCUGACGGAGCAACGCCGCGUGAGUGAAGAAGGCUUUCGGUUCGUAAAACUCUGUUGUUAGGGAAGAAAAAAUGUAUAGUAACUAUAUACAAAAGAGACGGUACCUAACCAGAAAGCCACGGCUAACUACGUGCCAGCAGCCGCGGUAAUACGUAGGUGGCAAGCGUUGUCCGGAAUUAUUGGGCGUAAAGCGCGCGCAGGUGGUUUAGAAAGUCUGAUGUGAAAGCCCACGGCUCAACCGUGGAGGGUCAUUGGAAACUAAUAAACUUGAGUGCAGGAGGGAAAAGUGGAAUUCCUAGUGUAGCGGUGAAAUGCGUAGAGAUUAGGAGGAACACCGGUGGCGAAAGCGGCUUUUUGGCCUGCAACUGACACUGAGGCGCGAAAGCGUGGGGAGCAAACAGG
rnacentral:rRNA from 1 species